rnacentral:ncRNA from 2 species
UACUUAUCCAGAGAGGUGGAGGGACUGGCCCUGCGAAGCCUCGGCAACGGGUUUGCUAUUUUGCAAAUACCGUGCUAAUUCCUGCAAGCUGAUUGUUUUAUCAGCUUGAAAGAUAAGAA